rnacentral:rRNA from 1 species
AGCAGUCGCCGCGGGAAUACGUAGGUGGCGAGCGUUGUCCGGAUUUAUUGGGCGUAAAGGGAGUGUUGGCGGUCUUUUAAGUCUGAUGUGAAAGCCCACGGCUCAACCGUGGAGGGUCAUUGGAAACUGGGAGACUUGAGUGCAGAAGAGGAGAGCGGAAUUCCAUGUGUAGCGGUGAAAUGCGUAGAUAUAUGGAGGAACUCCAGUGGCGAAGGCGGCUCUCUGGUCUGUAACUGACGCUGAGGCUCGAAAGCGUGGGGAGCAAACAGGAUUAGAUACCCCGGUAGUCCCUGUCUCUUAUAC